UACAGAGGGGGCAAGCGUUGUUCGGAAUUACUGGGCGUAAAGGGCGCGUAGGCGGCCUUCUAAGUCGAACGUGAAAUCCCCGGGCUCAACCCGGGAACUGCGUCCGAUACUGGAAGGCUUGAAUCCGGGAGAGGGAUGCGGAAUUCCAGGUGUAGCGGUGAAAUGCGUAGAUAUCGUGAGGAAUACCAGAGGCGAAGGCGGCUACCUGGACAAUUGCUGACGCUCAGGCACGAAAGCGUGGGGAGCAAAAGGG
rnacentral:rRNA from 1 species